UGCAAAUCGAACGAAGUACUUGUACUUAGUGGUGAACGGGUGAGUAACACGUAUCCAAUCUACCCUUAGGUUGGGGAUAACUGGUCGAAAGACUAGCUAAUACCGAAUAUCAAUACUACUAUCGCAUGAGAAAGUAUUGAAAGGUCCGUUUGGACCGCCUUUGGAUGGGGGUGCGGCAUAUCAGAUAGUUGGUGAGGUAAUGGCUCACCAAGUCAAUGACGUGUAGCUGUGCUGAGAGGUAGAACAGCCACAAUGGGACUGAGACACGGCCCAUACUCCUACGGGAGGCAGCAGUAAGGAAUUUUUCACAAUGGGCGAAAGCCUGAUGGAGCAAUGCCGCGUGAAUGAUGAAGGUCUUAAUGAUUGUAAAAUUCUUUUAUUUGGGAAGAAUGACUUUAAGAGGAAAUGCUUAGAGUUUGACUGUACCMUUUGAAUAAGUAUYGGCUAAACUAUGUGCCMGCAGCCGCGGUAAUACMUAGGAUGCMAGCGUUAUCCGGAUUUACUGGGCGUAAAACGAGCGCCGGCGGAUUAACCAGUUUGGUAAGAAAGGCUUUUGCUUAACGAAAGUUUGUAUCCAAAGCUGUUAAUUUAGAGUGUAGUAGGGAGUUUCUGGAGUUUCCCAUGUGGAAGCGGUGGGAAAUGCGUAGAUAUAUGGGAAGAAACACCCAGUGGGCGAAAGGGCGAGAACUUAGGCUAUCACUGACGCUUAGGCUCGAAAAGUGUGGGGAGCAAAUAGGAUUAGAUACCCUAGUAGUCCACACCGUAAACGAUGGUUAUUAAAUGUCGGCAUGAUUUGUGUCGGUGUUGAAGCU
rnacentral:rRNA from 1 species